rnacentral:tRNA from 1 species
GCCGUCGUAGCUCAGUCGGUAGAGCGUGUGACUGUUAAUCACAAGGUCAGCGGUUCGAUCCCGCUCGACGGCGCCA